AGUGAACGCUGGCGGCGUGCCUAAUACAUGCAAGUCGAACGGAGUGGCGCACGGGUGAGUAAUGUAUAGCUAAUCUGCCCUACACUAGAGGACAACAGUUGGAAACGACUGCUAAUACUCUAUAGUGUAGGAUGAGGCUAUAUUGUAUCAGCUAGUUGGUGAGGGAAUGGCUCACCAAGGUUAUGACGCAUAACUGGUCUGAGCGGAUGAUCAGUCACACUGGAACGGAGACACGGUCAGGACGCCUACGGGAGGCAGCAGUAGGGAAUAUUGCUCAAUGGGGGAAACCCUGAAGCGUCAACGCCGCGUGGAUGAUGACUCUUUUCGUAGCGUAAGCUCCUUUUGUUAGGGAAGCGGUAUCUAACGAAUAAGCACCGGCUAACUCCGUGCCAGCCGCCGCGGUAAUAC
rnacentral:rRNA from 1 species